rnacentral:rRNA from 1 species
AACGAACGCUGGCGGCAGGCUUAACACAUGCAAGUCGAACGCCCCGCAAGGGGAGUGGCAGACGGGUGAGUAACGCGUGGGAAUCUACCUAGUUCUACGGAACAACUGAGGGAAACUUCAGCUAAUACCGUAUGCGCCCUACGGGGGAAAGAUUUAUCGGAAUUAGAUGAACCCGCGUAAGAUUAGCUAGUUGGUGGGGUAAUGGCCUACCAAGGCGACGAUCUUUAGCUGGUCUGAGAGGAUGAUCAGCCACACUGGGACUGAGACACGGCCCAGACUCCUACGGGAGGCAGCAGUGGGGAAUAUUGGGCAAUGGGCGCAAGCCUGAUCCAGCCAUGCCGCGUGAGUGAUGAAGGCCUUAGGGUUGUAAAGCUCUUUCAGUGGGGAAGAUAAUGACGGUACCCACAGAAGAAGCCCCGGCUAACUUCGUGCCAGCCGCCGCCGUAAAAC